CUACGGGGUGCUGCAGUGGGGAAUCUUAGACAAUGGGGGCAACCCUGAUCUAGCCAUGCCGCGUGAGUGAUGAAGGCCUUAGGGUCGUAAAGCUCUUUCGCCUGUGAUGAUAAUGACAGUAGCAGGUAAAGAAACCCCGGCUAACUCCGUGCCAGCAGCCGCGGUAAUACGGAGGGGGUUAGCGUUGUUCGGAAUUACUGGGCGUAAAGCGCGCGUAGGCGGAUUAGAAAGUUGGGGGUGAAAGCCCGGGGCUCAACCUCGGAACUGCCUCCAAAACUGCUAGUCUAGAGUUCGAGAGAGGUGAGUGGAAUUCCGAGUGUAGAGGUGAAAUUCGUAGAUAUUCGGAGGAACACCAGUGGCGAAGGCGGCUCACUGGCUCGAUACUGACGCUGAGGUGCGAAAGUGUGGGGAGCAAACAGGAUUAGAUACCCUGGUAGUC
rnacentral:rRNA from 1 species